rnacentral:piRNA from 1 species
UGCAUGUUCAGACCGUGUUGAGGUGGUGAGA